GGUUAUAUGAGUUCAUUCAGUAAAUCCGAGAAUCUACCGAACACCAGUCAGAAAAGCACGAAUAAGUAUUUUCUGCAGUGAAAAAGAUGUCUUUUAACAUGGGGCCAUAAUCCAAAGGCAGCAGGCGAGCAACCAGGCUUCUCCAAUGCAAUGUGGCAAGAUUGCUCUCGUCACAAUGUCAUCAGAAACCCCUUGCAUAAAAGGCCAGCUGUGGCUCCAUUUAAAUCAGUCUUACUUUUAUCCUCAACACAGAGUCUUGUCUCUUGUUGUAGGGAACUGCUAUGCAAACUAUAGCAGCUUCUCUACUUGGAUGAUUACUUCGAAUGCUGUAACACAACUCACACUUGGGGAAAGGAC